UACGUAGGGGGCAAGCGUUGUCCGGAAUUCUUGGGCGUAAAGCGCGUGUAGGCGGCCAGAUAAGUCCGCUGUGAAAUCUCGAGGCUCAACUUCGAGCUGUCGGUGGAAACUGUCUGGCUAGAGUCCGGAAGAGGAGAAUGGAAUUCCUGGUGUAGCGGUGAAAUGCGUAGAUAUCUGCAGGAACACCCGUGGCGAAAGCGGCGCGCUGGACCACUACUGACGCUGAGGAACGAAAGCUAGGGGAGCAAACAGG
rnacentral:rRNA from 1 species